UUCCUUUUCCACCGCCUGAUCGGAUCAGCCGCCGAGUCCCCUCCUCUCCUCGGCCGCCUCCCUCCGAGCUCACCGUCGACCGCGCAUCCCCAUCUCGCCGCGCGCCGUCGCAGGCCAUACAUCUGGAUGGUCAGCUUGAUCUCAUUUCUCCUGCAUAUUUGCCCAUCUGCUGACAGUCAGUGAGUGGUUGAACUUUUCUAUAUGUUUGCGGGGAUGACGCACCUCUCUUGUUUGAAUUAUUCCGUUCAAUUGCUUCAUACAAAAAUUCAUCUUUGGAGGGAGAUGUAAAGAAUAUCUUAUCUUGAUCUAAUUUUGCGCGAUUUGGUUUACUUGUGUGUAUUUUACUGCAUUUCCAGCCGGCCAUCUUCUCUUCAGUUUGACAGGCUAUUUUUUUUUAAAAAAAAUGGUUGAUCUCUCCAUUUUUCUCUACUUAUGUGCUGCUCCUAUGAGAUAACUCUAUUGCAACCGCAGUUGUCCAUCAUGGACAUGAUCUUAACUCUUGUUUUGAAUUCUGUACAGCUGGUUGAUCUCUCCAUUUUUCUCUACUUGUGCGAGGUCUGUUGGAUUGUGAAUGCAGCCAAAUUUGGUGGACCUAGCUAGUUUAUUUAUUUAUUCAUACGAAUGUUAUCCACUUUUGAAGUAAGCCCGUGUAUGAUUAUGUACUAUAGGUUGGAGGUCAGAUACAGCCGGGAGACUUGCGUCAGCUGCAAUUUAUUUGAUGCUUACAAGACUACGUCGUGGCAGUGCUAGCAUAGGCAGCUUGACCAUCCCUCUCUUUGAUGCAAAUCUGAGAUACUUUUAUUAUAAAAAAAUAUGUUGAAAUAGAAAGUACUAAAUUCUCUUAA